rnacentral:misc_RNA from 1 species
UAUUCCUUUGGUUAUCGAGAAAUCAGCUCUCGAUUUCCUAAAUUUGUUGACUCUAUCCGUGUCGUCGACCUCUCGAUAGCUACCAGCGAAUCGCUGUAGAUCGUCGUCUGGUGCUGCCCCGCAGUGACAAAAACGGCAGUCGACUAAGCGCGUCUUAUAAAUGCAGAUUUCGGUUCAAUCUCUGACAAUGGAGACUGUUGUGCUGUAUCAGAAGUAAUACAAAACCAUCUUGAAUCCAUCUUUAUCGAAUUCAAAGUGUUAUUAAAGAAACCGUUCUAGUGUCAGCAAAAUGAGAACCUCAGGAAGGAGCAGUUGCCCUGCAAUCAGAAGGACUUUUUGCUCAUUGUUGUAAUUGUAAUGAAGCAGCUGAAUUCUGGAG